UACGUAGGGGGCAAGCGCUGUCCGGAAUCACUGGGCGUAAAGGGUGCGUAGGCGGGUCUUUAAGUCAGGGGUGAAAUCCUGGAGCUCAACUCCAGAACUGCCUUUGAUACUGAGGAUCUUGAGUUCGGGAGAGGUGAGUGGAACUGCGAGUGUAGAGGUGAAAUUCGUAGAUAUUCGCAAGAACACCAGUGGCGAAGGCGGCUCACUGGCCCGAUACUGACGCUGAGGCACGAAAGCGUGGGGAGCAAACAGG
rnacentral:rRNA from 1 species